AAAGAAACUUCUGGAGUACAUACAUCCAAUAAGUAUCAAGCAUGUACUUACAUUUGGGGAAGCAGAAAGUGGAUCGCGUCUUGUAGGAACAGAGCGAUUCUUCAACCUCAAGCCCAGUAAUGAAUAUACCCUCAUUUUCAAAGCAGUUGGAGGUGAUAUGCUGUCCACACACAAAGAAGCAUUUAGUCAGCGGUGCCGACAUUGGUCCAUUUACAAUAAAAGUAUUUCCAUAGUGGAAAUUAGAAGUUCUUCUUUCUCGCUCCACUGGUAAAAUGAAAAGGCUGCGAUGCUGGUUGGAACAACCAACAACGAAGCACUUUCCGACCCUAAUGGCCCCAUUUCAGUUCGUGUCACAGUGAUGGCAGAGAAAGAACCCAGUCGUCGGAAAACCGGCGGCACGGUCCCAUGCACAGGCCCUCAACAUGCUCUGUGGAGUCCCAUUAUCUGUCAUUGAGACCCCGUGUGUCUAGCUUUUGUAUCCAGAUCAUCUCAGCCCUGCAUCUCUGAGAUUUCGACAACCUUGGAUUGGUUAUGAUCAUUUAAUGACUGUAAAAACGUCUCAAAAUCCUGCUCUGAAUGUGUCCAAAUACCCCAUAUGCCUUGUAAAUAUUUAUAAUAGUGUUUAAUUUCCCUGCAACCAGUGAGAAAGGAUACGACCCGCUGUGGUAGGAGACCAGUGGAUGAGGUCUGCCUCUACCUCAAAGAGCUCACUGGGGAUGCGGGUGAGAUACUCACAGUUCUCUCUGAUGUGAUCAUUGAGUAGAUGCAGGUUGUUUUGCUCCGCCUGUGGGAGGGCUGGGGAAGAGUUCAGUUCUGGGACGUAAACAGCAGUCUGAGGGAUCCUCUUCUUGGCUACUUUGUAGGCACCCUGGAGUUGUUUGAUGGCAGUAGAGUGAGUUUUUUAUUUCUGCUGUUGAUGCCAAAGGACAGGAUGAUGGACUGUGUCUGGAAGAAGUGGCUUUCUGCAGGAUGGAUUCUGGAUGGUAGAAGGUGGCUACAGGAAAACUGUCAACCUGCAGGUCUUCCUUGGUGAAGGGAGAAAAUCUGCCCACAUUGGAAUCCCCCAUAAUAACCGGCAGAUGCUCCAGUCCCUCAGUUUCCUGAUGGUUUUGGGGUGACGAGUGGGCUUGAAGAUUUUAUUACCAGGAGGAGUAGAGGGGGUGGCAAAGAUCUCUGUGAGAGUAAGUUGGCUGCCGCUCAUCCUAUGAGGGGAUCUGGCUGCUGCAGGAGGAGAGAGGAGACAGAGAGGCCCCCUUGUGGUCAGAGAGGGGGGGCCUGAAGAGGCGGGAGGGAGUUCAGCCGCAGCAGCAGCAGGAGGAGGAGAAGGAGAAGAAGAACCGGAGGAAGAGAAGACAGCCGCCUGCCGGAUGAUUGUGUGAUCUUCUUCAUCAGCAGAUGUCAAGGCACAAGGCUCCAACAUGGAUGUCUCAUCCUCCGCGAAUUGGGUGUUUGUGAGCAGAUUUUCCUCCUCAAACUGGCGAGUGCUGGAUUUGGACCUGGCGCAGGUCCUGGGUUCUCUCUGGGAUUUAGGAGAUGGUGGCGUGUUUGCAACCAGCAAAGCAGGAGUAGGAGACACCGGGGAAGAGUGUGAGGGGUUAGGGUUAGGGGGUUAGGUUAGGGUUAAAUUAAUUUAAAUAGUCCAGAGGUGGAUCAGGGUGCACUGGCAUACAAAAGUUGAUUUUACAGUUUUCUGACCAAGUUCCUGUUUUUUGUUUGUUUGUUUUUUAUUGUGCUAUUCAUGCAUGUAUAUAAAUAAAUAAAUGAAUAAAUAAAUAAAUAACAUCAUAGUACAUAGUCAAAAUUUGUAUGUUUUUCUCAAUUCGUAUCAAUUCACAGAAUCAAUCUAAGUCCCUAAGAUGGUUGUUCUGUUGUGUAUAUGCACACACACACACCCAAACACAGAA